rnacentral:rRNA from 1 species
AGUGAACGCUGGCGGUAGGCCUAACACAUGCAAGUCGAACGGCAGCACAGUAAGAGCUUGCUCUUACGGGUGGCGAGUGGCGGACGGGUGAGGAAUACAUCGGAAUCUACUUUUUCGUGGGGGAUAACGUAGGGAAACUUACGCUAAUACCGCAUACGACCUACGGGUGAAAGCAGGGGAUCUUCGGACCUUGCGCGAUUGAAUGAGCCGAUGUCGGAUUAGCUAGUUGGCGGGGUAAAGGCCCACCAAGGCGACGAUCCGUAGCUGGUCUGAGAGGAUGAUCAGCCACACUGGAACUGAGACACGGUCCAGACUCCUACGGGAGGCAGCAGUGGGGAAUAUUGGACAAUGGGCGCAAGCCUGAUCCAGCCAUACCGCGUGGGUGAAGAAGGCCUUCGGGUUGUAAAGCCCUUUUGUUGGGAAAGAGAAGCAGCAGGUUAAUACCCCGCUGUUCUGACGGUACACAAAGAAUAAGCACCGGCUAACUUCGUG